rnacentral:pre_miRNA from 9 species
UCUCGAUAGCGUAAAAUUUAACUCAAAUUUGUAUGGAGUUGGAACCUAUGCCUACGUUUUCCGCUAAGGGCGCUGUUCCAACUUCAUACAAAAUACAAUUAACUUUUAAGCUAUCAA